UACGAAGGGUGCAAGCGUUGCUCGGAAUUAUUGGGCGUAAAGGGUAGGUAGGUGGUCUCAUUUGUCAGGGGUGAAAGCCUUGGGCUUAACCCAAGAAGUGCCCCUGAAACGGUGAGACUAGAGUCUUGGAGAGGGUCGUGGAAUUCCCAGUGUAGCGGUGAAAUGCGUAGAGAUUGGGAGGAACACCAGAGGCGGAAGGCGGCGACCUGGACAAGCACUGACACUCAACUACGGAAAAGCGGAUGGGUAGCAAACAGG
rnacentral:rRNA from 1 species